GAAAGAAGUACAAUUUUUUCAACUUCCUAGACAACAUCUGGGGAAGAUGUACGAGACUUCACAAAGGUGCUGAAGAAUAAGUUCAGAUCAAAGAAAUACUUUGCCAAACAUCCUCGGCUUGGCUACCUGCCUGUCCAGACAGUUCUUGAAGGUGACAACUUAGAAACUCCUGUCACACUCAUCAGCAUGUGGCCGGAGCACUAUGACCCCUCACAGUCUCCGCAGCUGUUUCAUGAUGACACCCAUUCCAGAAUAGAACAGUAUGCCACACGGCUGGCCCAGAUGGAAAGGACUAAUGGAUCUUUCCUCACUGAUAGCAGCUCUACCACAGGAAGUGUG